AAUCUAGACGACAGCAAGCAGCCUGUAUGAGCUGUACAUUUAGGGUAACCCUGGGCCUCUCAAACGGGUCACAUGACUAGCCCCGCUCCCAUUUACUACGAGGACGUGAAGGGUCAAAGUUCGCUUUGAGAUCCCAUUCCAGAGCUGGAAUCUAAUGGAAUUUAUUGUGGAAUAAAUCAGGUCUUAAUGUCUGUUUUAUUUUUAUUGCCAAACAACCCACUAUAGUAAAGAGAAGGCCUUCUAUGGAGCUAUCUGUACAUACCCAGGAAUCUUGGACUACUAUGGAUAUACUCAAAUAGGACUGGAUAAUAGUAAGAAGGUAAGUGGGACAGGGUUUACAUUCCCCCAUUAGAGAUAAGCAUAAGGGGGGGGGUUCCCCUAAAAUAGUUAAAAUAAAAAAGCCCUAUCAAUAUUGAAUAAAAAGCCCCUCGAAUAGGACUGAAUGAUCGUAAGAAGGUAAGUGGGACAGGGUUUACAUUCCACCAUUAGAGAUAAACAUGGGGGGGUGCCCUUAAAUAAAAAAUAGCCC